CGCGGGGUGGAGCAGCUUGGUAGCUCGCUGGGCUCAUAACCCAGAGGUCGCAGGUUCAAAUCCUGCCCCCGCAA
rnacentral:tRNA from 1 species